CAAAUAUUUAUGUCAUGAUUUGCCUGGAAGUGUUCUUGCUCUCUGUUCAGGAAAAGAUUUAGUGGAUUUUUUGUCCAACUGAGUCCCCAGGUCAGCAAUGAUGUGACCCACAAAAUCCUUUCACCUUUGCAAACUACAGUCAGCCCAACACAGGUUUUGUCCUGACCUAAAAUGCUGAAAUUUUGGGUAUUUCCUGACUCUGGCCAGCACAAUGAUGAACGUUGUGUAUUGCAAUGGAAAAGUGUCUAGUAGUGGUUACAGCUUCACAGUCAUCAUCUUAUUUGCAGUCCCUGUUAUAGGAAAACAAAAAAUCCUGGAAAGAAGUGGUGAUGAUUAAUCAUUCAUUCCCUCGAAGUAAAGUUGGAGAUGUGCUGUCCCCGAGAUUAAUUAAGCAUAAUUCACAUAUUUCUACAUAUUGAAAAGGACAGCUGUACUUUUAUGAGGCAUGGGUUAGAGUUCUUGUUCCAAGUAAAAAUGUGUAAACAUUUAUAUUUCAGAUUUAUGGACACAUUUUUAUUUUCAUAUUUUAUAUUGUAUAUUUUUCUGUAAGUAUAAUGACCUUCAGAGCUGGAGUGGAAAUCUAUUUAGCCUUAUGCUUAAUCCAGUCUUUCUUACAGGAUUUCAUAAGGAUGUGUUGGGAGCAGGGAAGCUGCAAGAAGAAAAUUUGUCCCUGUCAAAGUUUGGAGCAGGAAGGAAACAUGCAAGGUAUUCUAGUGGAGUCCAAAGGAGUUUUUUUCUCUACAAUGUGUUUGAUAUGUCAACAGAAAUUCCUCACCAAACAUCAGACCAAGGGAGCAGCUUUUCAUCACCUCAAACUUCUGUGGUAAAAUAACACAUGUGAUAUCAAAAAUAAUAUCAUAAUAAAUCUUGAAUAGGUAUCUAACACCCAAAUGCAUGUCAGAAGCUCUUUGCUGUUGUAUAUCUGUGGGAGGCUCCACCAGCUAUGCCUUGUACAUAGGGAAUGCAAAAAAAAGUCUGUGGUUACCCUUUCAUUUGUGCCCUCAGAAGAUAAGCAUCCAUAAAAAGCUCUUUGAUCCUCUGGAUUUAGAUAACAAUGUUGUAAUUAAUUAAUGAAUGGCUAUUUUUACAAUAUAAUUGACUUAUGUCCCCUUACCAGAGUCAGCUGAACACCAGUAUUUGCCAGCAGUCAAAAAUUAAUUUUGCAAAACGUUAGAAAGAUAUUCAGGUUUAUGUUGAAGGAUACUAAAAUUGUAUCUGUUUAUGGCUACAAAAUUCUUCUGUACUAUUUUUUUUUCAAACUGACUUAAUGUUAAUGUAGAGCUGAAUCUCCAGAAUUUUUCAAUAAACAUUUCAGAAUGUCAAAGAUAUUUGAAGUGAUGUCAUGGAACAACUUGACAUUUCUUAGCUCUAUAUGGAUUAAAACUGAGAUUAAUGUAAGGGAUGAAUCAAUAUGGACCAAACCAUUAAGUGUGCCUUAUAAAAAUUAAUCUGCUGAAAUUGAAAAUACACAUUUAAAGUCCUACUAGCUUAAAUUUUGCCUAAUGACAAUUCUAGCUGCUUCCAGAAAGGGAUAGUUAGUAGAUGAAAUCAGAAUUGAGUUUCAGAAUGUUGCAAUUGGAACCAAAAACACUGAGGAAAGGGAUUUGUGUGAAACAAGCCACUAAAAGAACCAAGGCACUGCAUAUCCCAACUCUUUAAAUUAUUAAGUAUUACAAAGGUGAGAAGUUAAUUAAUUAGACUCUCAAAAGAAACAAUAUAAUCUCACCAAACUCUUCACUCUGACAAUACUCCCACUGCACUAUCUUGUAAGAUAUUUCUUUUCAAGAGAAUAGUCAGCACUUAGACAAAAGUUUCUUUUAAAAAUAAAACUGAAAUCAACAAACUAAGGAUUUCAGGGCCAUGGAAAGUUAAAUAAAGCCUGAAGAGUUUACAAAUAUUAGCAGCAGUUAUUGUUUAAGAUAGUGGGAAAGGUUAAGGAAAACUAUAUGGAUGACAAAGAUAAAACCUUGCAUAAUUAAGAAACAAUUUGCAUAACCUGGUAACUAUUGAGAUCUGAUUUCUCUCUCGGUUUAUUUGGGUUUGUUUUUUCCCAGGUAUGACCUUGUUUUCGCCCCAAAAAAGCAAUUAUUGGAAUAAGUACUAGUGCAUGAGAAUGCUAACAGGACAGGUAAUGUUUGGUGGAGUAAAUAAUGGUUUCAUUUUGAGAAUCAUGACAGAUUUUAACUAAAUUCUAGAGUUACUCAAAUGUAUAUAAAAUGCUUUUUUAUAUAAACUUAACAUAUCCAAAUGAGGAAAAAUCUUAAAGCAAUUUGAUUGUUGUAUGCCUACUGUACUGAGAAGAACCUACAAGGUAUUAUUUGGAACCAAAGCAGGAGGGGUUUUUUUUGCACUCUUUUGGAGUCAGGAGUUUUGUAUUUUUACUCUUUAAAUAUAUGAUAUUUAUAGAAGUCCUCAAAUCCUUCUGGGUCACCCCAUGUUGAUCUGAGUCACAAGCAUCAGUGCAAACAAUAGUUUAUCCAAAAUUUAUAUUACUUCAAACUAGCACCAUUGAUCCUGACCCUAGGAGAGGCAGAAUUGGGACUAAAACUGACAAAGAAAUGGCAAUCUGGGCAAAACCUCUGGUGACCUGUGAAUGCAUAAGAUUUCCAGGUCAUUCUCUGUCUGUCAGAGCAAUAUAGAAACAUAGCUAUGGUUACAUAAUUGUUAUAGUGGUCACCUUAGGGUCUCUUUUAGAUAAAACUGAUGCAAGCUUUGCAGAUACAUUUCCUGAUUAAACACACAUAAAGUCUCUUGAAGUUCGGGAUUUCAAAAAAAUCUUUAACAUUUUAGGUUUUCAUUACUAGAAUUGUUGAUAUCAUUUCAAGGUAAGGUAAUAAUGUAAUUUGUUCAUGUAAAGUCAAUAUAAUCUCAUUAUAACAUUGCUGUUGAUUUUACCUAACGUUUAUAAAUCACAUCAUAAUGGAAAUUAAGUCAUAACUAUAGAACUUUAAAAAAGAAUCAAUAUCUCCUUUUUGUUAUUAAUUAUUUUCAAGGAAAAGAAAAUUUUCUCUAGACUUAUUUAAAAAAUCUUUUUUUUUUCUCUCAUUUAAUGUUGCUGCUGCCUUUGAAUCAUUAAGACAAUUUCCUUGCGGGCCACCAUUCUCUGCUAAGUUCCAUCAGGCUGUAAAAUCCUGUAAACUAAGAGUGUGGUAGAAAUUUUUUUUGUUCUGUUGCUGUUCUCAAAAAAUAAAAAUAAAUAAAUUUCAAAGGUUUAAAAUUACCACCUCUUCUACAAAACAUAAGUACAGAUGUUUUGAAAGUUUCCAAGAGUGACAUGACAAGCACUUGGGUUUGCUUAUUGUUUUUCCAUAUUCUGUAUCAAUGUCUAUGUGCAUAAUUUUAUACAUGCACUCUCUGCUUGUUUCCUGUUGAAUUGAAUUAUAUGAAAUAAACAUUGG
ensembl:lncRNA